UUAAGUGACUAAGCGUACACGGUGGAUGCCUAGGCAGUCAGAGGCGAUGAAGGGCGUGCUAAUCUGCGAAAAGCGUCGGUAAGGUGAUAUGAACCGUUAUAACCGGCGAUACCCGAAUGGGGAAACCCAGUGUGUUUCGACACACUAUCAUGUCAUGAAUACAUAGUGGCAUGAGGCGAACCGGGGGAACUGAAACAUCUAAGUACCCCGAGGAAAAGAAAUCAACCGAGAUUCCCCCAGUAGCGGCGAGCGAACGGGGAGGAGCCCAGAACCUGAAUCGGCUUGUGUGUUAGUGGAAGCGUCUGGAAAGUCGCGCAGCAAAGGGUGAUAGCCCCGUACACUAAAAUGCACAGGUCGUGAGUUCGAUGAGUAGGGCGGGACACGUGACAUCCUGUCUGAAUAUGGGGGGACCAUCCUCCAAGGCUAAAUACUCCUGACUGACCGAUAGUGAACCAGUACCGUGAGGGAAAGGCGAAAAGAACCCCGGCGAGGGGAGUGAAAUAGAACCUGAAACCGUGUACGUACAAGCAGUGGGAGCACCUUCGUGGUGUGACUGCGUACCUUUUGUAUAAUGGGUCAGCGACUUAUAUUUUGUAGCAAGGUUAACCGUAUAGGGGAGCCGUAGGGAAACCGAGUCUUAACUGGGCGAAUAGUUGCAAGGUAUAGACCCGAAACCCGGUGAUCUAGCCAUGGGCAGGUUGAAGGUUGGGUAACACUAACUGGAGGACCGAACCGACUAAUGUUGAAAAAUUAGCGGAUGACUUGUGGCUGGGGGUGAAAGGCCAAUCAAACCGGGAGAUAGCUGGUUCUCCCCGAAAGCUAUUUAGGUAGCGCCUCGUGAACUCAUCUUCGGGGGUAGAGCACUGUUUCGGCUAGGGGGCCAUCCCGGCUUACCAAACCGAUGCAAACUCCGAAUACCGAAGAAUGUUAUCACGGGAGACACACGGCGGGUGCUAACGUCCGUCGUGAAGAGGGAAACAACCCAGACCGCCAGCUAAGGUCCCAAAGUCAUGGUUAAGUGGGAAACGAUGUGGGAAGGCAUAGACAGCCAGGAUGUUGGCUUAGAAGCAGCCAUCAUUUAAAGAAAGCGUAAUAGCUCACUGGUCGAGUCGGCCUGCGCGGAAGAUGUAACGGGGCUAAACCAUGCACCGAAGCUGCGGCAGCGACGCUUAGGCGUUGUUGGGUAGGGGAGCGUUCUGUAAGCCGUUGAAGGUGGCCUGUGAGGGUUGCUGGAGGUAUCAGAAGUGCGAAUGCUGACAUAAGUAACGAUAAAGCGGGUGAAAAGCCCGCUCGCCGGAAGACCAAGGGUUCCUGUCCAACGUUAAUCGGGGCAGGGUGAGUCGACCCCUAAGGCGAGGCUGAAAAGCGUAGUCGAUGGGAAACAGGUUAAUAUUCCUGUACUUGGUGUUACUGCGAAGGGGGGACGGAGAAGGCUAGGCUAGCCGGGCGACGGUUGUCCCGGUUUAAGCGUGUAGGGGGUGUGACCUGGUAAAUCCGGUUGCAUAUCAACCCUGAGGCGUGAUGACGAUGCACUACGGUGCAGAAGUAGUUGAUGCCCUGCUUCCAGGAAAAGCCUCUAAGCUCCAGGUAACAUUGAAUCGUACCCCAAACCGACACAGGUGGUCAGGUAGAGAAUACCAAGGCGCUUGAGAGAACUCGGGUGAAGGAACUAGGCAAAAUGGUGCCGUAACUUCGGGAGAAGGCACGCUGGCAUGUAGGUGAAGUCCCUUGCGGAUGGAGCUGAAGCCAGUCGAAGAUACCAGCUGGCUGCAACUGUUUAAUAAAAACACAGCACUGUGCAAACACGAAAGUGGACGUAUACGGUGUGACGCCUGCCCGGUGCUGGAAGGUUAAUUGAUGGGGUCAGCCGCAAGGCGAAGCUCUUGAUCGAAGCCCCAGUAAACGGCGGCCGUAACUAUAACGGUCCUAAGGUAGCGAAAUUCCUUGUCGGGUAAGUUCCGACCUGCACGAAUGGCGUAAUGAUGGCCAGGCUGUCUCCACCCGAGACUCAGUGAAAUUGAACUCGCUGUGAAGAUGCAGUGUACCCGCGGCAAGACGGAAAGACCCCGUGAACCUUUACUAUAGCUUGACACUGAACAUUGAGCCUUGAUGUGUAGGAUAGGUGGGAGGCUUUGAAGCGUGGACGCCAGUCUGCGUGGAGCCAUCCUUGAAAUACCACCCUUUAAUGUUUGAUGUUCUAACUCGGCCCCAUAAUCUGGGGUGAGGACAGUGUCUGGUGGGUAGUUUGACUGGGGCGGUCUCCUCCCAAAGAGUAACGGAGGAGCACGAAGGUUAGCUAAUCACGGUCGGACAUCGUGAGGUUAGUGCAAAGGCAUAAGCUAGCUUGACUGCGAGAGUGACGGCUCGAGCAGGUACGAAAGUAGGUCUUAGUGAUCCGGUGGUUCUGAAUGGAAGGGCCAUCGCUCAACGGAUAAAAGGUACUCCGGGGAUAACAGGCUGAUACCGCCCAAGAGUUCAUAUCGACGGCGGUGUUUGGCACCUCGAUGUCGGCUCAUCACAUCCUGGGGCUGAAGUAGGUCCCAAGGGUAUGGCUGUUCGCCAUUUAAAGUGGUACGCGAGCUGGGUUUAGAACGUCGUGAGACAGUUCGGUCCCUAUCUGCCGUGGGCGUUGGAAGAUUGAGAGGGGUUGCUCCUAGUACGAGAGGACCGGAGUGAACGCACCACUGGUGUUCGGGUUGUCAUGCCAAUGGCAUUGCCCGGUAGCUAAGUGCGGAAAAGAUAAGCGCUGAAAGCAUCUAAGCGCGAAACUUGCCUCAAGAUGAGUCUUCCCUGGACCUUUAAGGUCCCUGAAGGAACGUUUAAGACUAAGACGUUGAUAGGCUGGGUGUGUAAGUGCAGCGAUGCAUUGAGCUAACCAGUACUAAUGAUCCGUGAGGCUUAACCUU
rnacentral:rRNA from 1 species